rnacentral:rRNA from 1 species
GACGAACGCUGGCGGCGUGCUUAACACAUGCAAGUCGAACGGAGAGGCCUCUUUCGGGGGGUACUCGAGUGGCGAACGGGUGAGUAACACGUGAGUAACCUGCCCUUGACUUUGGGAUAACUUCAGGAAACUGGGGCUAAUACCGGAUAGGAGCUCCUGCUGCAUGGUGGGGGUUGGAAAGUUUCGGCGGUUGGGGAUGGACUCGCGGCUUAUCAGCUUGUUGGUGGGGUAGUGGCUUACCAAGGCUUUGACGGGUAGCCGGCCUGAGAGGGUGACCGGCCACAUUGGGACUGAGAUCCGGCCAAGACUCCUACGGAGGCAGCAGUGGGGAAUAUUGCACAAUGGGUGGAAGCCUGAUGCAGCAACGCCGUGUGCGGGAUGACGGCCUUCGGGUUGUAAACCGCUUUCGCUCAUGACGAAGCUUUGUGUGACGGUAGUGGGUAAAGAAGCACCGGCUAACUACGUG